GUGAACGCUGGCGGUAGGCCUAACACCUGCAAGUCGAACGGCAGCACAGUAAGAGCUUGCUCUUACGGGUGGCGAGUGGCGGACGGGUGAGGAAUACAUCGGAAUCUACUUUUUCGUGGGGGAUAACGUAGGGAAACUUACGCUAAUACCGCAUACGACCUACGGGUGAAAGCAGGGGAUCUUCGGACCUUGCGCGAUUGAAUGAGCCGAUGUCGGAUUAGCUAGUUGGCGGGGUAAAGGCCCACCAAGGCGACGAUCCGUAGCUGGUCUGAGAGGAUGAUCAGCCACACUGGAACUGAGACACGGUCCAGACUCCUACGGGAGGCAGCAGUGGGGAAUAUUGGACAAUGGGCGCAAGCCUGAUCCAGCCAUACCGCGUGGGUGAAGAAGGCCUUCGGGUUGUAAAGCCCUUUUGUUGGGAAAGAAAAGCAGCAGGUUAACACCCCGCUGUUCUGACGGUACCCAAAGAAUAAGCACCGGCUAACUUCGUG
rnacentral:rRNA from 1 species